rnacentral:rRNA from 1 species
UACGUAGGUGGCAAGCGUUGUCCGGAUUCACUGGGUUUAAAGGGUGCGUAGGUGGGCAGGUAAGUCAGGGGUGAAAUCCUGGAGCUCAACUCCAGAACUGCCUUUGAUACUGGAGAGCUUGAGUCCGGAAGAGGUGAGUGGAACUCCGAGUGUAGAGGUGAAAUUCGUAGAUAUUCGGAAGAACACCAGUGGCGAAGGCGGCUCACUGGUCCGGUACUGACGCUGAGGUGCGAAAGCGUGGGGAGCAAACAGG